rnacentral:rRNA from 1 species
GUACGGGAGGCAGCAGGCGCGAAAACUUUACAAUGCUGGAAACAGCGAUAGGGGGACUUCGAGUGCCAGGAUACAAUCUUGGCUGUCGUCGUGCCUAAAAAGCACGGCAUAGCAAGGGCCGGGCAAGACCGGUGCCAGCCGCCGCGGUAACACCGGCGGCUCGAGUGGUAACCGCUAUUAUUGGGUCUAAAGGGUCUGUAGCCGGCUGAAAAAGUCUCUUGGGAAAUCUGGCCGCUUAACGGUCAGGCUUUCAGGAGAUACUCUUCGGCUCGAGACCGGGAGAGGUGAGAGGUACUUCAUGGGUAGGGGUGAAAUCUUGUAAUCCUUGAAGGACCACCAGUGGCGAAGGCGUCUCACCAGAACGGGUCUGACGGCAAGGGACGAAAGCUAGGGGCACGAACCGGAUUAGAAACCCUAGUAGUCCU